CAGCAGCCGCGGUAAAACGUAGGUGGCAAGCGUUGUCCGGAACUAUUGGGCGUAAAGGGCUCGCAGGCGGUUUCUUAAGUCUGAUGUGAAAGCCCCCGGCUCAACCGGGGAGGGUCAUUGGAAACUGGGAAACUUGAGUACAGAAGAGGAGAGUGGAAUUCCACGUGUAGCGGUGAAAUGCGUAGAGAUGUGGAGGAACACCAGUGGCGAAGGCGACUCUCUGGUCUGUAACUGACGCUGAGGAGCGAAAGCGUGGGGAGCGAACAGGAUUAGAUACCCCCGUAGUCCCUGUCUCUUAUAC
rnacentral:rRNA from 1 species